rnacentral:rRNA from 1 species
UACGGAGGGGGCUAGCGUUGUUCGGAAUUACUGGGCGUAAAGCGUGCGCAGGCGGCUUUGCAAGACAGAUGUGAAAUCCCCGGGCUUAACCUGGGAACUGCAUUUGUGACUGCAUGGCUGGAGGGCGGCAGAGGGGGAUGGAAUUCCGCGUGUAGCAGUGAAAUGCGUAGAUAUGCGGAGGAACACCGAUGGCGAAGGCAAUCCCCUGGGCCUGCACUGACGCUCAUGCACGAAAGCGUGGGGAGCAAACAGG